rnacentral:lncRNA from 1 species
UGGCAUUACCGCGGAGGCUGGGAGCCAGGAAUGUGCACGAAAUCACGGACAGCAGCGCGGGAGCCAGGUGCUGAAUGGCCCUCGCUGGGACAGAUCUCAGAAUCUCAAGAGGAGCCUCUUCAGAGAGGGCACAGCCCACACCCACUCCCCGGUCCCCAUGC